rnacentral:rRNA from 1 species
GAUGAACGCUGGCGGCGUGCCUAAUACAUGCAAGUCGAGCGAACGGACGAGAAGCUUGCUUCUCUGAUGUUAGCGGCGGACGGGUGAGUAACACGUGGAUAACCUACCUAUAAGACUGGGAUAACUUCGGGAAACCGUAGCUAAUACCGGAUAAUAUUUUGAACCGCAUGGUUCAAAAGUGAAAGACGGUCUUGCUGUCACUUAUAGAUGGAUCCGCGCUGCAUUAGCUAGUUGGUAAGGUAACGGCUUACCAAGGCAACGAUGCAUAGCCGACCUGAGAGGGUGAUCGGCCACACUGGAGCUGAGACACGCUCCAGACUCCUACGGGAGGCAGCAGUAGGGAAUCUUCCGCAAUGGUCGAAAGCCUGACGGAGCAACGCCGCGUGAGUGAUGAAGGUCUUCGGAUCGUAAAACUCUGUUAUUAGUGAAGAACAUAUGUGUAAGUAACUGUGCACAUCUUGACGGUACCUAAUCAGAAAGCCACGGCUAACUACGUG